UAAUACGGAGGGUGCAAGCGUUAUCCGGAUUCACUGGGUUUAAAGGGUGCGUAGGCGGGUUGGUAAGUCAGUGGUGAAAUCCCCGAGCUUAACUUGGGAACUGCCAUUGAUACUAUCAGUCUUGAAUACCGUGGAGGUCGACGGAAUAUGUCAUGUAGCGGUGAAAUGCUUAGAUAUGACAUAGAACACCAAUUGCGAAGGCAGUUGGCUACACGAGUAUUGACGCUGAGGCACGAAAGCGUGGGGAUCAAACAGGAUUAGAUACCCUGGUAGUCCACGCCCUAAACUAUGGAUACUCGACAUAUGCGAUACACUGUAUGUGUCUGAGCGAAAGCAUUAAGUAUCCCACCUGGGAAGUACGAUCGCAAGAUU
rnacentral:rRNA from 1 species